GACGUAGGGCGCAAGCGUUGUCCGGAUUUAUUGGGCGUAAAGAGCUCGUAGGCGGCUGGUUGCGUCGACUGUGAAAACCCGCGGCUCAACCGUGUGGUCUGCAGUCGAUACGGGCAGACUUGAGUUCGGUAGGGGAGACUGGAAUUCCUGGUGUAGCGGUGAAAUGCGCAGAUAUCAGGAGGAACACCGGUGGCGAAGGCGGGUCUCUGGGCC
rnacentral:rRNA from 1 species